GACAGAGGGGGCAAGCGUUGCUCGGAAUUACUGGGCGUAAAGGGCGCGUAGGCGGGAUGGCAAGUCGGUCGUGAAAUCCCUCGGCUCAACCGAGGAACGUCGAUCGAUACUGCUGUUCUUGAGGAUGCAGAGGAGACUGGAAUUCCCGGUGUAGCGGUGAAAUGUGUAGAGAUCGGGAGGAACACCGGUGGCGAAGGCGGGUCUCUGGGCAUUUCCUGACGCUGAGGCGCGAAAGCGUGGGGAGCAAACGGG
rnacentral:rRNA from 1 species